rnacentral:rRNA from 1 species
AAAUUGAAGAGUUUGAUCAUGGCUCAGAUUGAACGCUGGCGGCAGGCCUAACACAUGCAAGUCGAACGGUAGCACAGAGAGCUUGCUCUCGGGUGACGAGUGGCGGACGGGUGAGUAAUGUCUGGGAAACUGCCCGAUGGAGGGGGAUAACUACUGGAAACGGUAGCUAAUACCGCAUAACGUCGCAAGACCAAAGUGGGGGACCUUCGGGCCUCACACCAUCGGAUGUGCCCAGAUGGGAUUAGCUAGUAGGUGGGGUAACGGCUCACCUAGGCGACGAUCCCUAGCUGGUCUGAGAGGAUGACCAGCCACACUGGAACUGAGACACGGUCC